rnacentral:rRNA from 1 species
AGCGAACGCUGGCGGCAGGCCUAACACAUGCAAGUCGAGCGGCCGUAGCAAUACGGCAGCGGCAGACGGGAGAGUAAGACGUGGGAACGCGCCCUUCGGUUCGGGAUAACUCAGUGAAAAUAGAGCUAAUACCGGAUACGACCUUACGGGGAAAGAUUUAUUGCCGAAGGGACAGCCCGCGUCCGAUUAGCUUGUUGGUGAGGUAACGGCUCACCAAGGCGACGAUCGGUAGCUGGUCUGAGAGGAUGACCAGCCUCACUGGGACUGAGACACGGCCCAGACUCCUACGGGAGGCAGCAGUGGGGAAUAUUGGACAAUGGGCGCAAGCCUGAUCCAGCCAUGCCGCGUGGGUGAUGAAGGCCCUAGGGUUGUAAAGCCCUUUCAGCGGGGAAGAUAAUGACGGUACCCGCAGAAGAAGCCCCGGCUAACUUCGUGCCAGCAGCCGCGGUAA